rnacentral:antisense_RNA from 1 species
UGUGUCCCGGCGGCCACCAGGUCACUGAGGUGGGGUGGGGAAGACAGGUUCGCCGCUGCUUCAGGCCUGGGAUCUCUGCUGGAACUCUCCACAUUUUUUAAUCAAUUUAACAUUUAUAAUAAUUUAAGAGGUGUAAUGGGGAGAAAUAGAAGAUUGGAAUUGUUUUAAUUGCAUCUGUGUUCUGAGGAAUGGAGCAACAGCAGCAGAGGAAAGGUGUUCUUUUACUUAAAACAACAAAUUCUGUUUUCUAAUGCAAGAUUUGUGGUGAAAUCUCAUCAGUUUCUUCAGGGCAUCCUUCAUGUCCUUAUUGCUUAAGGUGUAAAUGAGCGGGUUGAGACUUGGAGUGAUGACGGUGUAAAAGAGAGUGGCUGAUUUAGGUUCCAAGCAGAAUUGAAUUGGGUGCCUUGGAAGCCUGAGGCAGAUUUGGUACUAUGGAGGGUGCACUUGCUGAUAUGAAGUU